rnacentral:tRNA from 1 species
AAUAAAGUGCCUGAUUAAAGGAUUAUUAUGAUAAAAUAAUUAUACAUUUAUUGUCUUUAUUA